rnacentral:rRNA from 1 species
UUGGUUCCGGCAUCGAUGAAGAACGCAGCGAAAUGCGAUAACUAAUGUGAAUUGCAGAAUUCAGUGAAUCAUCGAGUCUUUGAACGCACAUUGCGCCCCCUGGUAUUCCGGGGGGCAUGCCUGUCCGAGCGUCCAUUGCUGCCCUCAAGCCCGGCUUG